rnacentral:tRNA from 1 species
GGCCUCGUAGCUCAGGUGGCUAGACUGUCGGCUGUAGUAAUGUGUUCCCUUUGUUGGUGUGGGUUCGAAUCCCACCGAGGCCA